rnacentral:sRNA from 1 species
UCGUGUUAGCAAAUAACCGAUCCAGAUC